ensembl:lncRNA
GUGAGAAUGUGUUGAAAAUAUUGUCUUAAUCCAAAUCUACAAAUGUCAAACAUUGUAUUUUAUGUCUGGAGAAAUCUAUAGUCCCUUUUUUUAUAUGAGCUUAAAAACAUAUUUACAGUAUUUCAGUCUGCACAUCUAAGUCUCUGUGUCAUUGAGAUCAGACAGGUCAGGGAGUGGAAGAAAUUAAUUCAUGCAUAUAUUAGUCUGUUUGAGCUCAUUAAAACGAGGAAAUGCUAAUUUAUGAUGGGUGAAGGUUUAUUUAUAGCCCAAGAGUGGUGUAAGCACAUCUCUUAAGAUGUCUAAGUGAAGGAUAGGGAUCUUAUGUCAUCUCAUUGCGAGCAAUAUGUGUCUGAUUGGCCAUAGCAAAACCCUAGACAGAUGGCCCAUUCUGGUAUUUAGAGUUUAAGGCCCUGCUGUGAAACUGUUUGCUUGGAGAACUCUGGUUUAAUUCCUCCAACGUGGACACAAGAGGAAUUGUAUUUGUCCGAUGUGGACUCAAGAGGGAAAUAAAGAAAAUAAUUGGAUUUUUGGUUUCCAAACAAGAAGCACAACUUCAGCUGAGCAAGACAAAUCCGACCUAUCCCGGAGCUUAUGGGACAGUCAACUAAACUGUUAUAGCCAGGAGUUUAUUUUCAACCCAAAGACAGGAAGUUCAAUAACUUCAUAAAAGUGAUUACACUGCAUUUUGGACAGAAGGAAGAAAUGCUUCAAAGGUCACUUGAGGUUGAGUCAGUCACCUUUGCCAAACCACACAAUGAAGCCUCAGGUCAAGAAGGUUUUAGUCUAUGGGACACUCAGUCAUCACCUAGAGAGACAGAACUCUGCUAAACCUUCACUGCCGGUUGGCUUCAUCUCUGUUUGCGGUGGAUCUUUCGUCUCUAUAUGUCGUGCUCCACCCCAGGAGGCUUUGCCUUCACCUCUCCGCUCCUCUGCAAUUAAGGCUGACAGGAGAGCUUGCUCUAUUCCGCUGAUGCCAGUACUUAUAAAGAUGGAGAGAGAGAGCUCAGAUAUGUUCAUACAUCAGUCAAGGCCCCUUUCCAACCACCCAGCCAGUCUCCAUCCAUGCCAGUCUGUCUGUUGUUCUCAGUUUUUCUUUUUUACUUUAAUUUUACAACUGCCACUUGGGAGACUGAAUUGAUAUAAAUGGAUUUUUAGGAUAGUAUGUUGCUCAGGUAGCAGUGUGAUACUGUAAGUAGCAUUGAAAUUCUCUAGAAAUCACAAAUGUUGGGUAAAAUAAAAUGCAUUUAAAAGUUUAUUCAAUCAUAAUUCUUAAAU